UACGGAGGGGGCUAGCGUUGUUCGGAAUUACUGGGCGUAAAGCGCGCGUAGGCGGAUCUGCAAGUCGGGGGUGAAAUCCCGAGGCUCAACCUCGGAACUGCCUUCGAUACUGCGGGUCUCGAGUCCGGGAGAGGUGAGUGGGAAUUCCUAGUGUAGAGGUGAAAUUCGUAGAUAUUAGGAAGAACACCAGUGGCGAAGGCGGCUCACUGGCCCGGUACUGACGCUGAGGCGCGAAAGCGUGGGGAGCCAAACAGGG
rnacentral:rRNA from 1 species